AAAGGAAUUGACGGAAGGGCACCACCAGGAGUGGAGCCUGCGGCUUAAUUUGACUCAACACGGGGAAACUUACCAGGUCAAAACGUGGGUGUGAUGGACAGAUUGAGAGCUCUUUCUUGAUUCUACGGGUGGUGGUGCAUGGCCGUUCUUAGUUGGUGGAGUGAUUUGUCAGGUUAAUUCCUUUAACGAACGAGACCUUAACCUGCUAACUAGCACCCCGUCUCAACGGAAGGUGCUUCUUAGAGGGACUGUGCGAGCCUAUCGCACGGAAGUUUGAGGCAAUAACAGGUCUGUGAUGCCCUUAGAUGUCCUGGGCCGCACGCGCGCUACAAUGGCACACGCAGCGAGUAUCCUGAUCCGAAGGGAACCGGGUAACCUGCCAGGGUGUGCCGUGAUUGGGAUCGACCCUUGCAAUUAUGGGUCGUGAACGAGGAAUUCCUAGUAAGCGCAAGUCAUCAGCUUGCGCUGAUUACGUCCCUGCCCUUUGUACACACCGCCCGUCGCUCCUACCGAUU
rnacentral:rRNA from 1 species